GAGGUUGUGGCUCAGUGGUAGAGUGCUUGCCUAGCAGGCAUGAGGCACUGGGUUCAAUCCUCAGCACCUCA
rnacentral:tRNA from 1 species